AAUGUGUGAAUGACGUGAAGGUAACUGAUAUGUGGGAUGUCAGUAAAGAUCCCCAAAAUAGUACCAUGGAAUGGAAUGAUGACAUUUAACAGCAUCAAUGUGCAGUAUUGCUCUCAGGUUAAAUCAAUCAACCUCUGAAGGAGUGCAAUGGCAGCAAGUGUGUCUGUGGGUGUGAAAAGGGUACAGGAAUGUUAGGUGACAGCAAGUGCAUGAUGAAUCCGCAGUGAGACCUCACUGCCAAAGCUUCUGGGAGACAAGGUCCGGACAUGAGUGUGCCAGGAAUGAGCUUGUCAGUGACCAGCCUCUGGAAUAAGAGGUUCCACAGCAGUUUCAGCUUGGAUGGCUUAUUUAAGACUUCUGGCAUCUCAGUUGGAAAAAUCAAGUGUACACACUGUAGGGGCUGGGGAUUUAGCUCAGCGGCAUAAGCGCCUGCCUUGUAAGCAGGCAGUCGUGAGUUCGAUCCCCGGUACCGAUAAAAAGGAAAAAGACAAAAAAAAGUGUACACGCUGUGACUGGGAAGUGAUGGUGAUGUCAACAUCUGAGGUUGUACUCACAAGGAACAGCAAAGUACCAACUCCUCUGAAGUCAAACUGGAAUACACGACUUUGACUUGAGGCUCAGAGAAGACUUUGGAUUUAAACUUUUCAGUAAUGCUGGAACUAUUAAAACUUUGGUGACUUUUAGCUAUGCACUAAAUUCCUUUCACAUAGAGAGAUGCACAUGACUCUUCUGAGGGUCAGGGAAAGAAUUUCAUGGAUUGGAUCAAGAAUUUCCCUCUUAUGCAUUCAGAAGCAGGGCUUUUAGGGAUUGGAUCAGGGGUUUGGAGCUGAAUGUGCCAUUGGGAGGUGAGGCCUGGGGGGAAGAAGCCGGUCACCAAGGGUACUCUCCUGCUUCCUCCUUUUCUCUGCUUCCUGGUCACCAUGACAGGAGCAGCUCUUCUCUGCCCAGGCCCUUCCAUCAUGUGGUUUUAGUGGUUAAACCUUCCAAACAUACAGUGAAACCUCUGAAACCUCUCAAAACAAACACCACUUUCUUUAAAAGUUGCUGGUGUGGGACUUUGUGUUGCAGAGGCAAAGACAGAGGAUCUGACCAUUUCUAGUCACAAGGAGGGUUAGGUAAUUAAAGUACCUUAUCAUCUUGAAUAAAAUCA